UUUGGUGACCCCAACCGGUACUCAUUAUGUUUAUGUGGUGCGAACGAACAGGUUCACUGACCUGUCACGGUGGCGGUGGCGAACCUGACAAGACUCUUUAGUAUGACUUUCUUUUCUUUCAGCAAGUGACAGCACAGGACAAAAAUUAAUACACUGUAUUGAUUUAUUUUCAUUCCCCGUUACAGUGUUGGUAGACUGUUGUAUAUGCUGAGACUAGGUGCCCGGUUACCCUGUACGUAGACAUUCCGUUGCACAAUUGCAGCGACCAAACAUGAUCUUUGGUAACCCAGCUGUUCGUGCAUCAAGGCAAAGAGUUAUUACUAUCUUUGAUCAAGGCCAGCAGUGGGAAGAUCCGCAAACUAUUUAUAGAACCAAUUGACCUCCCUCCACUCCCCUCCCUGUAGCCUAGUAGAAAAUCUUCCAAGGCUACUUCCGACGUAUUUUGGCACUAAUUGGAUCAGGGAACAGUGAGGCCUUAGUUCUAGACUAGAUCUAGAUCUAGAUCUAGAUCUAGAUUCUAGAUUCUAGAUUCUACUUGCCUUAGAUCUACUAGAUCUAGAUCUAGAUCUGCUUACAACGCCAACCUUCGUCGUUGAGGGUAGAGUCCUUGAGUGGCAUCCAGCCAGCCGCCAUCCAGUUCAUCCACUGUCCAAGUUUGACUCGAGAGCUACAUUCGUAGGACAUAAUAUGCCUUCUGUGUCGAAUGUCCACAUCUCGGCCUUCCUACUCAGUUUAGGUCUAACAGUCAGCGCUCUAGAUCUACAUAUCCUUGUGAUCCGUCACCCACUGGCUGCACCUGUGAAAAGACAGACAUUGUCAAGGGGAGAUGCAAUUGUUGGACGUGGGAUCAGAAGGCGACUUGGGUCAUAUUCUGCAUGACUUAUCCUGACUUAAAGUUAUCAAGUGCCUUGUAUUGAGGGGUACUGCCAAGAAAAUACACAUGGAUGGUAUGAGAAUAGAAAAAAUGAGGGUGAUGGGAAAGGCAAGUGGUGUUGCAAGUAUGAAGAGGAGGAAAAUGGCUACUCUAUAGGUAGUACAUUUUGCGAAGAAGGCUGCUGUGGUGAUGAGGAAGAGCGUUGCUGUUCCUCCCUGUCUCAAGGUGAAAUUCAGGCCAUUGCUGCAGGUGCAGGAGUAACUGUUGCAGUCUUUUUGUUGGUUACCAUCGCCAUUAUUCUCUACUGCUUUAUUCGGAGGAGCGGAUUUUCGGUGCAUAGAUCUUCUAAUUCAUCUUCCUUUUGGGAAAUCAGACGAUCAGGGACUCAAUAUCGAACAGAAAAUGAAGAUACAUUUCGGCCAAGGCGACAGCCAAUACAAACAGCGCCUACUGAGCAUGGUCAGUCCAAUUCUGUCAGAUCCAGUAACAUUUCCCGCCAUGGUGAUCAUCAGAGAAACAACAGAAACUCUCCUCCAGCAUACUCUGAGCUCACCACAGAUGGCAACAUGUUUAAUGGUGAAGGUCCAACGGAUAGCAAUAUUCACAGGACUGAUGGAAAUGAUCAACAUGACAGUAUUGGAGGCUAUAGGACAACGGCAAAUAGACAGAUAAAUGUCCCAGGUCAAAGUUUUCCAUCCCAGAAUGACCAAUAUUAUCAAGUCAACUUGCCUCCAUCAGCCUCACAAGACCCUCACACCUUGUCUGGAGGAGACGCUGACAGUCAACUUCUUGAUACUUUACAGGAUGCGAUGCCAUUACCUUCGUAUCAGGAAGUUAUGCGAGACCCUGGAAAAUAUACCAUUGAAAGCUCAUUUUAGAUAGGCCAUGUCCCAUGCAUUUUUACUUGUCUGUCUGUGAUGCAUUAAAAAAUUUUAAUAGCAAUUAAGAAAAUGCUGGUUCCACAUUUAACACCUUGCCCCCACGGGAUGCCAAUCGGCGUUGGUGUGAUAUAGUGUGUACUGCACCUGUAUCCUGGUCCGGGGGGAUAAGUGUUGCGCGCUCUGGCGCGCUGCUUGGGUGAAAAGUGUUAAUGAAUACAAUCUAUGCACAUAACAAAAUUGGAGGGAUGCAGAAGUCCCUUUGUUACGUACGAAUUUUGCUUUGUACAUGUUUUUAAAAUAAUAAAAAGGAUAUUGCCUUGUGUAAGACUUCACCAAAUGCCAUUUUGAAAUAUAUAUAUGACAGAGUCUUACCCUGAGUAGUCAAUAAGAAAAAAUUCAGGACCUGAAAAUAGUGAAAAUCUUUUCUCAAUGUAGGCACUACAUGUUUCACUAUGAGUAUUUACUGUGUGUGCGUGCCAGGCUGUAGUUUAUGUUCUACAGCUUCAGGCAUCUAUACUUAAUUAUUGGCCUAUGUUUCCUUCGUUCAGCCACUUCUUUUACAGCUCAUAAAACAGUCCUGUGUACACCGCCAUAGUUUCCUUAGAGUGAGGAAAAUGUACCAGCCUUUUUAUGUGCCUAGAUAUUAUGGCAGGGAACUUGAUGAAUUGAUGAAAGCUUUGUACCCGGUGAUUUUAUAAAAAAUAUUGAAGUGAUUUAUGGUAUAUACUUUUUCAUUAUAGUAAUUCUCUCUGCUCUAUAUCCUUGUUCUGAUUAACUCUUUCCAAACGUAGUUGUUUUGGGGUCUAGAAGUAAUUAAAUUGUGACUCUAUUGGGCUACACAGGUGAUGUACUACACAGGUGAUGUACAAAAUAACUUCAUAUAAGCAUAACCAUCACUCAAAACGUAACAUAUGACAUAUCAAGUUGAAGGAAAUUGAAUAAGGAAUACAUUCCAAUACAAAACAAGGAUUAAUUUUGAACAUAAGUAUGCAUUGCAAGGGUUAGAAAUGGCGAUGUGGUGAGAAAAAUACAUUUUGAUGGAAAAAAUUACACACACUAAACAUGUGCAAGCGAAUCAGCAUAGCUAUCUUAUCAUAUAAGCCAUGAGCAGAUUCCUUAUAUUUCUGAAUGUGCAGCUUUUUAUUUGAAUGCAAUAUUCCAAUUUUUGUUUGAGUUAUGAUAUUUAUACUGAGUCUGGUUAGAUCGUUUUGUUGAUGCGAGACCUCAAGAACUAAUUCACUCAUUUUUCCACCGAUAUAUCGGCGAUACGUCCUGAAAGAGUUAACCAGAUCAUUGGUCUUGUAAAGCAACUGCGGGCGAGGAUGGUGAAGUCAUUGAUGCUGCUAUGGUUUUUGUCAUUUUGCACUCUACUUAUUUUACCUCUUUGACUAUAACGGCUUUUGAAAGAAAUGUCAUUGUUCUUUUGUGAACUGAACAUGCUAAAAAAUUUUUUUAGGACCACUGGGGACAAUUGGUCUGGCUUGGUCAUCUAUUUAAAAUUUUGCCUUAAUGUGAAGGUUGUAAAAUAUGUUGAGGUCUGGUCUCUUUCUCAAGCAAAACUAGUGUAUCUGUUUAAUGAAUUGUGCAAUAGUCAUCACAUUUCCGUCCGUGUCCCCAUCUUGCCCGUCGCUGGAUGGAUGAUGAUGGUGGCAAUUCUGUGUUUGGGCUUGAAAUUGUACCAUAAGUUUAAAGAGUUAUUUAAUUACUGAACUCUUUUUACUGUUGUCAGUCUGAACCUUACUUGAGGAUCCUUAUGCAAACAUUGAUGACAUGAGUAUGUCAGCAACUUCUUUUAUAAUUUCCUUUUUUGGCCUUUUCAAAGGUGAACCUGGAAACCUGUUUGCAUUCCUUUAGCGGGAACUCGUCUACAGAGGCAUUUGUCUUCCAGAACCUAAAGUCACUCUAUAGCUGUGUUCUACUGUAUAUAUAUGCACAUGUAGUUGUAGCCACCAAAAGAUAACUUGUUUUAACUCUUUAUCUCCGAGGAGGGGGGGAGGGGGGGGGUAAAUCCACUACGCCGGGACCCUCUUUUGGUACGAAUCUAAAAAGUGACAUACAAGUCACUAAAUUGGUUACUAAAUCAAAACAAUAGGUUUUGAUAGUUCUUCAUCUGAUAAAUGAAUUCCCGGUAAAAGAGAUCCACAUUUUUAAUUGCUGAAAACUAAUUUGAAGUCUAAAGUGGUCAUAAAGGAAUGUGCCUGAGCUGCUGCUAGCAGCUCACAGGCGGUACAGUUUCAACGGUGAGCUCGCUUGCGGGAGAUGAGGAGUUAGAAGCGGUUAUAUGCCAUUGAAAAUUUGAUAAGUGACAGGUACUGGAUGUCUUCUUGGGUUUGUCUGAUUGCGGUGUGGGGUUUAAGCGUAUGCUGCUCAUCAAGUCUCUCUCCUAAGGUUGAAACAUGCAUUAUGAGGUCGAGAUAGAACUCUCUUAGCUUUUAAUGUCAGUUGAUUGAGCGGGUUUUUAAUUAUUAUAUUUUUUUUCAUUUAUUAUCACAAAUUGUCUCAUUUAGGAGGUAGGCUGCUGUGUCCUUGCCAGUUAGGGUGAAACCAGGCUGUCUUGGAUACAUUAUAUAUCCAGACAAAUGGACAAAUAAACUUGAUAAAAUGUUCUUCCUUUGUAUAGACAAAUUCAGAUAUUACCUAUCUUCCUGUCGUCUGACUGUUAAAGAAGUUAAAAGUCAGCAUGAGGCAUGAGAUAUUAGUAUUAGUUUGUAGCUGAAAUAAUAAGUUUGGGAUCACUGCAAAAUUGAACACAAUUUGCAGGGAUUUUUAAUUGCUAUUUGAUACAUGAUGUCUUUGUUGAAAUGUGAGAAACUAAGUUCAAAACCAAACUUACGAUCUCUUUCCUACUAAUAAUGUGCCAUUGCAAGUACGAUAAAUAUGUGAAUUAUAGUUUUAUUCUCUUUAAAGAUUUACUUUUCAGAUAUAUUUAUGCAUUGGUGAAAGAAAAGCUUAUACAAUGUAUGCUUUAAUCCUUUCCUGUUGGCAGUCGUCACCAGCAAUAACCAACCAUUUGUUCUGCUUCCUCAUACUUACGAACCUCUUAGUGUUCACCUGCUUUUGCACCUAAUAAAUGUGAAAAUGAAAUCUGACUGCUAAUGCCAGUUCUGACACACUUUCCUCGAUAGAAAGUAAUGUGAGACUGCAACUUAAUGUGUGUGAUCAAUUUUUAUUGUAGCCAAGCUUACCGUUGAAGAAAUCUUGUGAGAAAAGCAACGUGGGUGUCUGGCUAGUUGUGGUGGGAUUGAACUCCAGCGCCACAAUAUUACUGGCCGGUUUUGGACAGGUCAACUAGAGAAGGUUAAAGGAUGGUUACAUUGGUAUUUUCUCAGGGCAGAGCUUGCGGAUGAGAUUUGAAGAUAUCACUUGAUAGACUUGCUCAUUUCCUCACCCCUCCGUUCUUUUUUGUCUGGCACUUUUCUACAUUUACCCAAGCUCGAAAUGGUUGUUAUUUACAUGAUGGAUGCCAUUUGUAUUCUUAUUCUUAUGAAGCUUGCAGAAUUGGCUCAUCAGUGCAAAAUGCACCUGUGUUGUAAUUUAUGAUGACGUGAGGGCAGUACAUGUAGGUGUAUCUUAAGAUCUGAAGUAGCUGUUUCAAAAUUAUAAUUGUUUUAACCACUUC